rnacentral:rRNA from 1 species
GAGUUUGAUCGUGGCUCAGAUUGAACGCUGGCGGCAUGCCUUACACAUGCAAGUCGAACGGCAGCACGGGAGCUUGCUCCUGGUGGCGAGUGGCGAACGGGUGAGUAAUGCAUCGGAACGUAUCCUGGAGUGGGGGAUAACGUAGCGAAAGUUACGCUAAUACCGCAUAUUCUGUGAGCAGGAAAGCGGGGGACCUUCGGGCCUCGCGCUCUUGGAGCGGCCGAUGUCGGAUUAGCUAGUUGGUGAGGUAAAGGCUCACCAAAGCGACGAUCCGUAGCAGGUCUGAGAGGAUGAUCUGCCACACUGGAACUGAGACACGGUCCAGACUCCUACGGGAGGCAGCAGUGGGAAUUUUGGACAAUGGGGGCAACCCUGAUCCAGCCAUGCCGCGUGAGUGAAGAAGGCCU